ACAUGGUGGAGAGAACAGAAUGAAACCUGGGAUUAGAAAAUAUGUCUGUGAUCUCACACUGGACCUAAACACAGUAAACAGACGCCUCUCUCUGUCUGAGGAGAACAGAAAGGUGACAUGUAGGACAGAGAAGCAGCCGUAUCCUGAUCACCCAGAGAGAUUUGAGGACUGUGAACAGGUGCUGUGUAGAGAGGGUCUGACUGGGCGCUGUUACUGGGAGGUAGAGUGGAGUGGGGGGCUGUUAUAGGAGUGACAUAUAAAGGAAUCAGCAGGAGAGGAAGGGUUAAUGACUGUUGGCUUGGACACAAUGACAAGUCCUGGUGUCUGUUCUGCUCUGACAACAGAUACAGAGCCUGGCACAAUAAUAAUCCCACUACCAUAGAUGUCCCCUCCUCCAGCUCCCACAGAGUAGGAGUGUAUCUGGACUGGUCAGCCGGCACUUUGUCCUUCUAUAGAGCCUCCUCUGACACACUGACCCACCUGAUCACAUUCACCUCCACAUUCACUGAGCCCCUCUAUCCAGGAUUUAGGGUUGAUUAUGUUGGCUCUUCAGUGUCCCUGAAAUAAUAACUGGACACAUACACACACACACACACACACACACACACACACACACACACACACACACACACACACACACACACACACACACACA